rnacentral:rRNA from 1 species
GACGAACGCUGGCGGCGUGCUUAACACAUGCAAGUCGAACGGAAAGGCCCUGCUUUUGUGGGGUGCUCGAGUUGCGAACGGGUGAGUAACACGUGAGUAACCUGCCCUUGACUUUGGGAUAACUUCAGGAAACUUGGGCUAAUACCGGAUAGGAGCUCCUGCUGCAUGGUGGGGGUUGGAUAGUUUCGGCGGUUGGGGAUGGACUCGCGGCUUAUCAGCUUGUUGGUGGGGUAGUGGCUUACCAAGGCUUUGACGGGUAGCCGGCCUGAGAGGGUGACCGGACAAAUUGGGACUGAGAUACGGCCCAGACUACUACGGGAGGCAGCAGUGGGGAAUAUUGCACAAUGGGCGGAAGCCUGAUGCAGCAACGCCGCGUGCGGGAUGACGGCCUUCGGGUUGUAAACCGCUUUCGCCUGUGACGAAGCGUGAGUGACGGUAAUGGGUAAAGAAGCACCGGCUAACUACGUG